AUAGCUAUAAUUAACUCAGGGCGGAACAGCUAGCAGAAUCCUCAGCGUUCGGGCAAAGGGCAGAGAAUCCAGCCAGAAGCAACAUGUAGAUCUAAUGACCUUCUCCAGGAGUCGAGGACCCACUACCUCGCUGAAUUCUCAGAGUCAAAAUGCGUCUCUACCUGCUGGUCCCAGAACAGUCCCCUGCUGCUGCAUUGAAUGAAUCUCAUCUCACUUCCUCGAGUCAGCCCUACCUAUAUUUGAUGAUCACAAACCUUAUCCUUACGUUGCCAGCAGUAACAUUCUGCAUCCCUCACCCACUCCACUGUGUCCUUUUCCUCCCACUGAUCUUCACUCUGCCUUUUCUAGGGGAACUCUGAACAGUAUUUCUGAGAAGGGGAUGAAGAUCGUCUCCCAAGUAAAUAUGUUGAGUUUGACUGGGCACCGUGGCCCACACCUGUAAUCCCAGCACUUUGGGAGGCCAAGGCGGGCAGAUCACUUGAGGCCAGGAGUUCGAGACCACCCUGGCCAACAUGAUGAAACCCUGUCUCUACUAAAAAUACAAAAAUUGGCCCGGCAUGGUGGCAUGCACCUGUAAUCACAGCUACUCAGGAGGUUGAGGCAGGAAAAUCACUUGAACCUGGGAAGUGGAGGUUGCAGUGAGCCAUGAUCAUACCACUGCACUCCAGCCUGGGUGACAGAGUGAUACUCCGUGUCAAUAAUUAAAUAAGUAAAUAAAUAAGUUGAGGUCAACUUUCAAAUGAUCGUCAUGAGAAAGCUACACAGUAUU
rnacentral:lncRNA from 1 species